GGCAGCGCGUGGGCAGCACGUGAUAGCCCUGCGCGACUCGGCAGAGCUGCGCGGCCAUGGACUUGGGCGCCGACGAGUUCGAGGAGAGCCUUCCUCUGCUGCAGGAGCUCGUCCAGGAGGCGGACUUCGUGGGUCUGGACAUAGAGUUCACGGGCCUUCGAUCCAACCUGUCUGGACCCCAGCAGAUCAGUCUUUUUGAUUUGCCAUCGGAGUGGUACCUAAAGACCCGUCAGAGCGUUCAGCAAUUUACAAUCUGUCAGAUUGGAUUGUCUGUGUUUUCUGCUAUUGAAGGAGAAGCAAACAAGUAUAUAGCCCAUUCGUGUAACUUUUUUCUCUUCCCCACAACGUUUGGGAUUUUGGACUCAGAAUUCUCUUUCCAGGCUUCCAGUGUUCAGUUUUUGAAUCAGUAUGGCUUCAACUAUAACAAGUUUCUCAAAAACGGAAUCCCAUAUAUGAAUGAAGAACAGGAGAAGAAAAUUCGACACGAUAUCCUGACUGGGAACUGGAGAGUCCGCAGCUCUCCAGAUAAAGACCAAAUCAAGGCGGUGAUUGACAAAGUGACACGGUGGCUGGACCUGGCCAAGGAAGGUGACUGGAUGACUCUUCCUGGGAUCGCUGGCUUCCAGGCCUUUGAGGUCCAACUGGUGCUGAGGCAGGCCCUCCCCGACAUCUGGACGGUGCUGAAAGAUGAGGGGGUGGUAGUGAAGAAAGUGAGUAAACAACAUCGCUGGUAUCUUCAGAACACCUCUUGUGACCGAGAGAGCUGUUGGAAGGAAAAGAUUCUUCUCUCUGCAAGGGGUUUUUCUGUCUUUUUCCAAAUGCUGGUGAAAGCCCAGAAGCCCUUAGUGGGACAUAAUAUGAUGAUGGACCUGCUGCACCUCCAUGAGAAGUUCUUCAGACCCCUCCCAGAAAGCUACGAUCAAUUUAAGCAGAAUAUCCACAGCCUAUUUCCUGUUCUCAUUGACACCAAGAAUGUAACAAAGGAUAUCUGGAAGGAGAUGAAUUUCCCGAGGGUGUCGAAUCUUUCCGAAGUCUAUGAAGUCCUGAACAGUGACUUGAAUCCCACCAAGAAUUCUGGACCAGAGAUUGUUCACGCAAGCAGGUGUGAGAAAUACGUUAAGACAAAGUGCCCCCACGAAGCUGCGUAUGAUGCCUUCCUCUGUGGGUCAGUUCUUUUGAAAGUGGCACACUUGCUUCUACAGAAGAUACAUGGUGGAUGUUAUAAAUACAAACGUUCUGUGACACAUGGAUGGGAAGCUUAUUUCUUAAAUAAGAAAUGUGCCAGCCUCACCCUCUUUCUUGUGGUUUGGCUGUUUAUGGGCCCCUGCAUCGACCCCGUGCCCGAGUCGUCCUUUCCUCAGUACCUCGACGUGCUGGCUCCUUACGUGAACCAAGUGAACCUCAUCCGCGCGGGGGUCCCAAAGAUCAAUUUUUCUGGUCCAGAUUAUCCCAGUAUCCGACCUCCCAUCCUCAUCCUCAGCAUCAAAAGGUGGCCCGGGGUCAGCGAGCAGCAAGUCUACCAUAAGUUUCAGAAUCUCUGCAAGUUUGAUGUCAGGCGACUCACAAGAAGCCAGUUCUUACUCCUGACCAAUAAGUUUAAGGACGCGCGGAACGUCCUGAAGGAGUACCGGGGCCACCCGACCCUGUGCAUCUCCCUGUACCGCUACUGGAGGCACUCCCCAGACGUCAACUGCGUGCUCCAAGUCUGUGGCAUAGUGACUGCCUGGGCCCUUCUCGCGUUCAUCUUCGGAAGAUCUGGUCCCUGAGCGCAGCGAGGCCUCCUGCGGCCACCCUCAGGUCCCCGUGCUCUCUGGAAGACUCUUCACCAUGGAGUCCACCGCCUCCUGCACCCUCAGCUGCUGCAGCUCCGCCAUGGCUACCCUGCGCUUCCACGGUAAUACUAAUUAAAACCUCAUUUUUUUGUGUGGUGGUGACUUGCCAAAUUAAAAAUUAUCUGGGGCCAGGCAUGGUGGCUCACGUUU